rnacentral:tRNA from 1 species
GCCAUGGCUGGUUGGUAGAGCAUCUGCUCAGCAUGCAGAAGGUCCCAGGUUCAAUCCCUGGUAUCUCUA